AGUGGGAUAACUGGGUCAAAUGAUAGUUCUACUCUGAGUUUUCUGAGGAAUCUCCGUACUCCUUUCCAGAGUAGUUGCACCAAUUUGCUGUCCCACCAGCAAU
rnacentral:pre_miRNA from 1 species